rfam:Halogeometricum pallidum JCM 14848 contig_8, whole genome shotgun sequence.
CUGAAGGUCGCGUUCGGGUCAAUUGCGGACUGCAACACCCGGUCUCCCUCUACGCUCCGUCCGGUACGGAGUUGGAGGAGGGAGAGCGCGUCGCCAUCAG